GAUGAACGCUGGCGGCGUGCUUAACACAUGCAAGUCGAACGAAGCAUUUAGGACAGAUUACUUCGGUUUGAAGUUCUUUAUGACUGAGUGGCGGACGGGUGAGUAACGCGUGGGUAACCUGCCUUGUACUGGGGGAUAGCAGCUGGAAACGGCUGGUAAUACCGCAUAAGCGCACAAUGUUGCAUGACAUGGUGUGAAAAACUCCGGUGGUAUAAGAUGGACCCGCGUCUGAUUAGCUAGUUGGUGAGAUAACAGCCCACCAAGGCGACGAUCAGUAGCCGAGCUGAGAGGGUGACCGGCCACAUUGGGACUGAGACACGGCCCAGACUCCUACGGGAGGCAGCAGUGGGGAAUAUUGCACAAUGGAGGAAACUCUGAUGCAGCGACGCCGCGUGAGUGAAGAAGUAAUUCGUUAUGUAAAGCUCUAUCAGCAGGGAAGAUAGUGACGGUACCUGACGAAGAAGCUCCGGCUAAAUACGUG
rnacentral:rRNA from 1 species